UACGGAGGGUGCGAGCGUUGUCCGGAAUCAUUGGGCGUAAAGAGCUCGUAGGUGGCCUGUCGCGUCGGCUGUGAAAACUCGGGGCUCAACUCCGAGCUUGCAGUCGAUACGGGCAGGCUAGAGUUCGGCAGGGGAGACUGGAAUUCCUGGUGUAGCGGUGAAAUGCGCAGAUAUCAGGAGGAACACCGGUGGCGAAGGCGGGUCUCUGGGCCGAUACUGACACUGAGGAGCGAAAGCGUGGGGAGCGAACAGG
rnacentral:rRNA from 1 species